GCCGAUUUUUUUUGGAAGUAAAAAAGUGUAACAAGGUUUCCGUAGGUGAACCUGCAAAAGGAUCAUUG
rnacentral:rRNA from 1 species